UGCCUGAUAGCCAAAAGGAAAGGCUGGUGGCUUUGACUCACCGAUCGGAGGUUCGAUCCCUUCUCAGGCAGCCA
rnacentral:tRNA from 1 species